rnacentral:lncRNA from 1 species
AAAGAACUUGAGUAUUUUGUUUUUAAACACUUCCACUUCUACAGUGGUAUAUCUCAUUGAAACUAAUGAAGUUGGGUUUUGUUUUGUUUGUUCUGUUUACAAAUGGGCCACCUUCUGCUCAACUUUGUUUAGAAGUCAAAACAACACUGCAAACCUCCUGGAGAAGACACCUUCACGGACAGACAAACGGACAGACAAAACUGAACUUGAGGUUCCUCACAGUCCUCACUAUUUCUGAGCACUCACGAUACAACUGCCUAAACUCAGGGUUACUGCCGUGGCAGCUGCUGGGAUCCUGGAGAGAGUUCUUCUCACCACUGCAAUCUGUGCUUUGUAUCUGCCUUUGUAAACACGAGGAAUAGUGCAACCCUGCCAUGGACAGCAUGCCCUGAAUAGCUUCUUCCUCUGUGCUCGUCGAG